AGCUUGAUGACUCUCAUGAGAGCUGAAGGUUGAAAGUUUCUUCCCUUCCAGAGUCUUUCCUCUUGAGAUCUCUUGGCUCUUCUUAUAUAGGUACAGAACAAAGAUUAAUCUCGAAUACGGGAAUGGAUAUAGAAUCACGGAGAGCAAAUCCAAUUGUCCCAACAAAUAUAAAUCAUAUAUGCCCUAAAAUGAGAGCUAUUUUUCCUAUAUACUAUUAUAUAUAUAACGUAAAAUGUCCCAAUAAAUUUUUUUUUUAUCUUGAAUCCAUGGACUGGUAAAUACAAUGGACGGCCAGCUCGAUAAGU
rnacentral:lncRNA from 1 species